rnacentral:rRNA from 1 species
CCGCGGUAUCCUAACCGUGCGAAGGUAGCGUAAUCACUUGUUCUUUAAAUGAGGACUAGUAUGAAUGGCAUUACGAGGGUUAUACUGUCUCCUUUUCCUAAUCAGUGAAACUAAUCUCCCCGUGAAGAAGCGAGGAUGAACAUAUAAGACGAGAAGACCCUAUGGAGCUUUAAACUUCCAGCAAUUAUCUUUUUUAUACCAACCUCAAGGCAAUCAAAUUAACUUUAAUACUAUGUCUGUUAGUUUUCGGUUGGGGUGACCGCGGAGUAAAACUCACCCUCCGCGAUGAAUACUAAACAUCUAAGCAACAAACUACAAUUUUACGCAUCAAAAAAUUGACACUAUUGACCCAACAUUUUGAUCAACGAACCAAGUUACCCUAGGGAUAACAGCGCAAUCCAUCUCAAGAGCUCAUAUCGACAGGUGGGUUUACGACCUCGAUGUUGGAUCAGGAUAUCCCAGUGGUGCAGCCGCUACUAAAGGUUCGUUUGUUCAACGAUUAAAAUCCUACGUGAUCUGAGUUCAGACCGGA